UACGUAGGGGGCAAGCGUUGUCCGGAUUUAUUGGGCGUAAAGAGCGUGUAGGCGGCCGCACAGGUCCGUUGUGAAAACUGGAGGCUUAACCUUCAGACGUCGAUGGAAACCGUGCGGCUAGAGUCCGGAAGAGGAGAAUGGAAUUCCUGGUGUAGCGGUGAAAUGCGCAGAUAUCAGGAAGAACACCCGUGGCUAAGGCGGUUCUCUAGUACGGUACUGACGCUGAGACGCGAAAGCGUGGGGAGCAAACAGG
rnacentral:rRNA from 1 species